rnacentral:ncRNA from 2 species
CCGGACAAAGAUCACGCCGGUGCCUCGAGAGAGGCUUAAAACGGGAAUGCGGUGAGAGGGUUUUCUCCUCGAAUCCGCGGCUGUCCCUGCAACUGUAAGCGGUGAGCGUGAUCCACAUCGUGGCGGGGGAGACCCUGCCGCAGCCACUGGGCCGGACGCUGCAACAUGCGAGGCCUGGGAAGGCGUGGAUCAUGCAUGGACCCGUGAGCCAGGAGACCUGCCGGCGUGCGUCGCUUUUG